rnacentral:rRNA from 1 species
GACGAACGCUGGCGGCGUGCUUAACACAUGCAAGUCGAGCGGUAAGGCCCUUUCGGGGGUACACGAGCGGCGAACGGGUGAGUAACACGUGGGUGACCUGCCCUCAGCUCUGGGAUAAGCCUGGGAAACCGGGUCUAAUACCGGAUAUGACUCCAUGACGCAUGUUGUGGGGUGGAAAGCCUUGUGCGGCUGAGGAUGGGCCCGCGGCCUAUCAGCUUGUUGGUGGGGGA